CCUACGGGGGACAGCAGUGAGGAAUAUUGGUCAAUGGGCUUACGCCUGAACCAGCCAAGUCGCGUGAGGGAAGACUGCCCUAUGGGUUGUAAACCUCUUUUGUCAGGGAGCAAUGGGCGCUACGUGUAGCGUUAUCGAGAGUACCUGAAGAAAAAGGAUCGGCUAACUCCGUGCCAGCAGCCGCGGUAAUACGGAGGAUGCGAGAGUUAAUCGGAAUUACUGGGGGUAAAGCGCUCGUAGGCGGUAUGUCAAGUCAAGGGUGAAAUCCCCGCGCCAAACGUGGGAACUGCCUUUGAAACUGGCAAACUGGAGUGUGUGAGAGGAUAGUGGAAUUCCAGGUGUAGGAGUGAAAUCCGUAGAUAUCUGGAGGAACAUCAGUGGCGAAGGCGACUAUCUGGCACAUAACUGACGCUGAGGAGCGAAAGCGUGGGUAGCAAACAGGAUUAGAUACCCCUGUAGUC
rnacentral:rRNA from 1 species